AUGUGGAGUGAAGACCUUCAAGUUCAUGUACAUAUCUCUAGUUUCCAUGUUAUCUUAGCCUUUAUUGUUAAUGUAGCUUGUAAGGAGGGGUUUGCACUGGUUUGUAUUUAUGGUGAUCCGUACCAUGGACAAACUAGCCAAAUAUGGGACCUUGUGGCUUCUUUUGUGUAUGAUAAUGCCGACAAGCCAAUAGUUUGUAUGGGAGACAUGAAUGACCUUCUGUAUGAUAUGUACAAGAGCUCCCACUCUGUGAAUACUAGUCGUAUGCGUGCCUUCCGCAACAUCAUCAAAAACUGUGGGUUCUUUGACUUGGGUUAUAGUGGCCCUGCAUAUACUUGGACUAACAAGCGUUAUACUUCCAUGCCAACUUUUGAGCGUCUUGACAGAUGUUUGGUAAAUUCAGAAUGGUGUGCUUUAUACCAUCAGUGA
rnacentral:rRNA from 1 species